rnacentral:lncRNA from 1 species
CAAAACUUUGUAUGGACAUGGUGAGAUUUCAUUUUAUCUUUUCUUUCAUCCUCUAGAUCAUCAUCUCUAUCAGUUCAAGAUUUUAACAAAAACUCAAAUUUAUGCAUGCAUGGUUUGUAUAUAUAUGAGUGUGUGUGCUCGCUCACGCGUAAUGCAUGUAUACAGAGAUAAAGAGAGUUUGAAGAAAUUUACAAGUCCUUUCAUGCUUUUCCACGGCUUUCUUGAACUUCUACAUCAAUUUUUCAUUUCAAAAACAUGAAGAUGUUCAAGAAAGCUGCGGGAAAAUAUGGAAAUUAAGGGCUUCUUAUGUGACUCCAUUAUGCUUAUAAGAAUGCAGGCAUUAGAACCUUCUCUGCCGCGUCAAUUCCAUGGUAAUUCUCCAAAUCUUCAUAGGAUCCGCAGAACUUUGUUUUCUUAUUGACUGGAAAGUUUUCAAUAAAUUAUUUUUACCAUGACAUCAUAGAGGUGACGAAUUCUUCUAGGAAUUAAUGAUCCCAAAUGUUUAAUAAAAAAUGAAUUUUCACUGCCCAAAAAAAAAAAAAAGACUUCGUAAUUGUUGUACAGUACUGUUACAGUGUUAUAUACUUAUAAAUUAGUAAGAAUUUCAAUCAAAGAUAUGAAGAGUGAGAGACUUUGCAGAGAAGAUAUUCCCGUCGUUCCUCUUUAUUAUAUCAAUACUUGAUAGAUGUAUCUUGUUUGCCUUUUGUUUUUCCC